rnacentral:rRNA from 1 species
GACGAACGCUGGCGGCGUGCCUAAUACAUGCAAGUAGAACGCUUAAGAGAGGAGCUUGCUCUUCUUGGAUGAGUUGCGAACGGGUGAGUAACGCGUAGGUAACCUGCCUUGUAGCGGGGGAUAACUAUUGGAAACGAUAGCUAAUACCGCAUAACAAUGGAUGACCCAUGUCAUUUAUUUGAAAGGGGCAAAUGCUCCACUACAAGAUGGACCUGCGUUGUAUUAGCUAGUAGGUGAGGUAACGGCUCACCUAGGCGACGAUACAUAGCCGACCUGAGAGGGUGAUCGGCCACACUGGGACUGAGACACGGCCCAGACUCCUAAGGGAGGAAGCAGUAGGGAAUCUUCGGCAAUGGGGGCAACCCUGACCGAGCAACGCCGCGUGAGUGAAGAAGGUUGUCGGAUCGUAAAGCUCUGUUGUAAGUCAAGAACGAGUGUGAGAGUGGAAAGUUCACACUGUGACGGUAGCUUACCAGAAAGGGACGGCUAACUACGUG